rnacentral:siRNA from 1 species
CAACAUCUUAUCAGGAUAUGCGCC